CCAGAGGGUUGGGCGGCCGCGGGCAUCGAAAGAUGCGCGAGGAAAGUCCGGGCUUCACGGAACGACGGUGCCGGGUAACGCCCGGCGGGGGCGACCCCAGGGACAGUGCCACAGAGAGCAGACGGCUAAGGCUUCGGCCCAGUCAGCGUGAAAGGGUGCGGUAAGAGCGCACCGCGCGCCUGGUAACAGGGGCGGCACGGCAAACCCCACCGGAAGCAAGAUCGAAUAGGGGUGGCAUGGGGCCGCAAGGCUCCGGGGCGUGUUCCCGCCCGCUACCCGGGUUGAUUGCUUGAGGCGGCGCGCAAGCGUCGUCCUAGAGGAAUGGUCGCACAGCCUUCUUUAUGAAGGUGGACAGAACCCGGCUUACAGACCCUCUGGCAAU
rnacentral:RNase_P_RNA from 2 species